UACGGAGGGUGCAAGCGUUGUCCGGAUUUAUUGGGUUUAAAGGGUGCGUAGGUGGCCCGUUAAGUCCGGGGUGAAAGCCCACAGCUCAACUGUGGAACUGCCCUGGAUACUGGCGGGCUUGAGAGUCGUCGAGGGUGGCGGAAUGGACGGUGUAGCGGUGAAAUGCAUAGAUACCGUCCAGAACCCCAAUUGCGUAGGCAGCUGUCUAGGCGACAUCUGACACUGAGGCACGAAAGCGUGGGGAGCGAACAGG
rnacentral:rRNA from 1 species